GACGAACGCUGGCGGCGUGCUUAACACAUGCAAGUCGAACGGAGAAUUUUACUUCGGUGAAAUUCUUAGUAGCGAACGGGUGAGUAACGCGUAGACAACCUGCCUCUUAGAUGGGGACAACAUCGCGAAAGCGGUGCUAAUACCGAAUGAAGUGGAGCUUCCGCAUGGAAGCAUCACCAAAGGUGGCCUCUAUUUAUAAGCUACCACUGAGAGAUGGGUCUGCGUCUGAUUAGCUAGUUGGCGGGGUAAUGGCCCACCAAGGCGACGAUCAGUAGCCGGUCUGAGAGGAUGAACGGCCACAUUGGGACUGAGACACGGCCCAAACUCCUACGGGAGGCAGCAGUGGGGAAUCUUCCGCAAUGGACGAAAGUCUGACGGAGCAACGCCGCGUGAGUGAAGAAGGUUUUCGGAUCGUAAAGCUCUGUUGUUUGAGACGAAUGUGCAGACUUUGAAUAAGGGUUUGUAAUGACGGUAUUAAACGAGAAAGCCACGGCUAACUCUGUGCCAGCCGCCGCAGUAA
rnacentral:rRNA from 1 species